ACAAAAGUUUAGUUAAAAUAAAUUUAUACACGCAUAAUAUAAUGUAUGUACAUAGUUUAUAUAAAAUACUUAAUCCGACAUUGUACACUAUUGAUUUAAGACUAUUUAAAUAUUAACAAUUAAACUUUCUGCUUGAUAUUGAAUAAUAGUCUAAAGAAAUGUGGAAAUCCAGAAUAUAUUUUGGAAUUUGACGGUUCGGAUAUAAAGCAGAUUAUCGGGAGUGCAGGUCGAAGAUUCAGAAAUCAAGGAAACUGAGUUACAAGUAUUAACUCAUUACAAGAUCGUUGUAAUAUUAGAUUAGCCGAUACCAACGUGAAAAAAUCUUCAAUUAAAUAUGAAAUGAAAGAACUAUCCUUUCCCUAAUAAUAUAUGAAA